rnacentral:rRNA from 1 species
UACAGAGGGUGCAAGCGUUGUUCGGAAUUAUUGGGCGUAAAGCGCGUGUAGGCGGCUUUGCAAGUCGGGUGUGAAAGCCCUCGGCUCAACCGAGGAAGUGCGCCCGAAACUGCAGAGCUUGAGUACCGGAGAGGAUGGCGGAAUUCCCCAAGUAGAGGUGAAAUUCGUAGAUAUGGGGAGGAACACCGGUGGCGAAGGCGGCCAUCUGGACGGUCACUGACGCUGAGACGCGAAAGCGUGGGUAGCAAACAGG